GCCUACGGGGCGCAGCAGUGGGGAAUAUUGGGCAAUGGGGGAAACCCUGACCCAGCGACGCCGCGUGAGGGAAGAAGGUUUUCGGAUUGUAAACCUCUGUCCUUGGUGACGAUAAUGACGGUAGCCAAGGAGGAAGCCACGGCUAACUACGUGCCAGCAGCCGCGGUAAUACGUAGGGGGCAAGCGUUAUCCGGAUUUACUGGGUGUAAAGGGGGCGCAGACGGCGAGGCAAGCCAGGAGUGAAAGCCCGGGGCCCAACCCCGGUACUGCUAUUGGAACUG
rnacentral:rRNA from 1 species